AUCAGUUCAUUGCUGUUGGCCUCACACCUCAUCGCACUGCUAGGGCAAUGUGGGAACAUCUUCAGACAAUUUAUCAACAGAGUAAUGUGGCCCGGUUAUACCUCCUGGAACAGGAUCUCGUUAACCUUCCUCAGGGUGACGACAAUAUUCAAUCAUUUUACUCCAAAAUUGUCACAAUUUGGACUGAGAUGACUAUGAUGAAUCCAACAUUUCCUCAUGACUUUAAGAUAUUCCAAACUAUGCGUGAGAGUGUGCAAGUUCGAUAGUUUCUUAUGAAGCUGCGUCCAGAAUUUGAGCAUUGUCGGGUUGCUCUCUUGAACCGUAGCCCUACUCCUUCAUUGAAUUCGGUUAUUAAUGAUUUAUUGGCUGAGGAACAAUGACUGAAAGUUCUCUCUCUUCCUUCCUCAACUCCGGGAUCAUCUAAUAUAGUGCUUGCUGUGUCCACCACUACACCAACACGUGGUUCCACUCCUUUGACUUGUCGCUGCUACAACAAGGUGGGUCAUGUUGUCGCUCAAUGCAAAGAAUGGUGCGCUUAUUGUCGACGGACUGGUCAUGUUAUUCAAGACUGCCGUACACGUGCAUAUGCAUCUUCUUUCGGCCGUGGACGUGGUGGUCGUGGUCGUGGCAGUGGUCGUGGUCUUUCUACUACUGCUACUACUAUUUCUUCCGAGCCGUCUGUUAGUGAUUCUGCAUCUACUGUUUCUUUUGAAGGUCUUUCAUCUCCGUUGACUCAUGCAAUGCUCCAGCAAAUCGUUCAGGCCCUUUCUACAGCCGGUAUGUCAGGAUCUGGCAACAAGGAAGGUACUUGGGAUGGGUAGGCGGCAUGGUCGUCUGUACGUGUUGGACUUUGAUCCAUCUGUCAUUCCGGCUCAUUGUUUCUUUUCUCCAUCUUCAUCAGAUAUUUGUUCGGCAAAUAAAUUGUGGAAACUGUGGCACUUUCGCCUGGGUCAUCCACAUUCCGAUCGGUUACUUCAAUUAAUUUCUUCUGACAUGUUAGGGAAUAUUUCUCUUAAUAAAAAUGAUUUGGAUUAUUCUUGUUCUUCCUGUUGUCUUUCAAAAAGUAAGUGUAUUCCAUUUUCUCUAAGUACUACAAAAUCAUCUUCUAUGUUUGAACUUGUGCAUACGGAUGUCUGGGGUCCAUCACCAAUUAUGUCUCUCUCUAGGUUAUGAUACUAUGUUAUAUUCAUUGAUGAUUUCACACAUUACACUUGGAUUUACUUUUUGCAAUCGAAGUCACAGGUUUUUGAAAAUUUCAAGUUAUUUCACUCUAUGGUGGAGACUCAAUUUCGGGUUCCAAUUCAAACUCUCCGCUCUGACUCGGGGGGGGGGGGGGAUAUCUCUCAACCGAUUUUCGUACAUUUCUUAAAGGUCAUGGGAUUAUUCAUCAGACCACAUGUUCUGAUACUCCACAACAGAACGGGGUGACUGAACGAAAAAAUUGUCAUAUUGUUGAAACUACCAACACCCUGAUGACAGCUAUUAGUGUUCCUCAUUCUUUCUGGGCAGAUGUAAUGUUACAUUCAGUCUACUUGAUUAACCGGCUGCCAACCAAAGUUCUGAACAGUAAAUCUCCCUACUUUGUUCUCACCGGCUUACCUCCUGCAUAUUCCACAUUUCGUGUUUUUGGUUGUAUCUGUUAUGUUCACCUGGCUUCACGUGAACGUACCAAACUAUCUCCAAAAUCGGUCAAAUGCAUGUACUUGGGAUUUGGGGAAACUCAUAAGGGUUUUCGAUGUUAUGAUCUUGUUUCUCGUCGUGUUCGGGUUUCACGACAUGUUUUUCUUAAACACAUUGCCUUUCAUUCAUCUCUUCCUCCUCCGCACACUCCAAACUCUCCUAGUCUAACCGCCUUUCCUGAAAUUCCAUUUGCCUCAAGUACUCUCCCUCAUCCGCUGCAAGUUUACUCACGUCGACCACGUACAGAUCCACCACCUAUUACUCAACUCGAACCUAAUGUACAUGUUGCAGAUCCCGAACCUACCUCGAUACGUCGUUCCGCUCGUGAACAUCGAGCGUCUGAUCACUUGAUAUGCUCUAUGUCUGCCAUGAAUGCUACUCUGGAUACU